rnacentral:lncRNA from 1 species
GAUAGCAUCGAGAAUUAAUCCGAAAAAACAUCUUCUCACAGAAGGACCCUUUAGUGCGGAAUUAAUUUCACAGUGCUUUUUGAAGUGUCGUGAGGCUUCAUAAGUGGUGCCAACUUAAUCCAAGGGAUAGGAUUUCAUUUGAUGGCCAUCCAAUGGCCAAGAUAGGAGGUGCCCACUUCAGAUUUUGCAUGGAGAAGGGAUAGACAUGGGAAAGGGUG